rnacentral:rRNA from 1 species
UACGUAUGGGGCAAGCGUUAUCCGAAUUUACUGGGUGUAAAGGGAGCGUAGGCGGCAUGGCAAGUCAGAAGUGAAAGCCUGGGGCUCAACCCCGGAAUUGCUUUUGAAACUGUCAGGCUAGAGUGUCGGAGGGGUAAGCGGAAUUCCUAGUGUAGCGGUGAAAUGCGUAGAUAUUAGGAGGAACACCGGUGGCGAAGGCGGCUUACUGGACGAUUACUGACGCUGAGGCUCGAAAGCGUGGGGAGCAAACAGG